CCUCCUGAGGCUGACCAUUCCUAUAAUAAACUGUUUUACUUCUGCUCACUCAUUGCCUCACACUCGUAAAAGGCUAUUUUAUACUUUCGGCACAGCUAGGAACAUCUGCCUGUUGGGGCAGCAGAAACAGCUCCAUGUCUUGAAGAAGUCCCGCAUGCUCAGUUUGCAAAGUGACACUAUGCUCAAAAAAAAAAAAAAAAAAAAAAGCCUUAGAACCAUGAACAGCACUCCAAGAUCACCAGUGCAAAGUCAUGCAGUCGCAAACAACCUGUACCUGAAAAACAAUCUCAAGUGCAGCCUCUGGAAGAGAGAAAUCUUGAGAUUUUGCAGAAAAUCUGCUUUAUUAUACUCCCUAAGGUCAGUAGAGGUGACUCCAGACUUCGUUUUUUAGAACUGUGCUUUAAAGACUUGCUACUGUGCAUCAGCAUCAUCUCUCAAAUUCUGUUUUGCUCCCUUUUCUAUCUGCUAAAGUGAAUGAUCAAAGAACCACAGGUACCCAGAUAAAGAAGCUUACCUUGUAAUCUUGCAAUCAGUUUAAAUCUUUGUCAGAACUCCCGAACUGACGUCCUUACUAUUUUGUUCUGCAACUCAUUGAGAGACCUCUUCCUCACUUUUCAGUGGUAGAAAAAGAAAUUAUGAUCAUUGCUAUUUUUUUUCUUAAUUUGCACAGCAUUUUAUCACAAAGUAAUUUAUGUUUAGCACUGGUAUUCAGCACUUGUUGAGCUUUUUUUAUCUUUCAGAAAUAUGCAGUAACCCUUCUGAACCCAGCUGUUAGGACUACUAUUUGUAGUCUGAAGCAGUAAAUGAAAUCAUCUGGGAACAGUAAUUAAAGAUACUUUAGAAUUAUUUCACAUACUAUCUAUGUCUCUUUUAAUUUAUUUUGAUACCUACCCUUUUGCUCAAAAACAUUACUCUGUGUAAUUAUAUGGAUCACUGUAUCUAUCAAAAAUGAACAUAGACUACAGUGGGUUAUUUUUACUUUCAAAAGCAGUACGACAGCUCUUGAUUAACCAUUGUUAACUUCUGUGCAAGUUCAAGUCAGACAUUAAAUUCUGUUGGAAGAAUUUUUUUUUUUGUUGAUGUUUUCCAUCCUAACACUUGCUUAAGUAAGCAUCAGAAUAAACUACAGGAUAUGGCUGUUUUGUGAUUACA
rnacentral:lncRNA from 1 species